rnacentral:rRNA from 1 species
AUUGAACGCUGGCGGAAUGCUUUACACAUGCAAGUCGAACGGCAGCACGGGGCAACCUGGUGGCGAGUGGCGAACGGGUGAGUAAUACAUCGGAACGUGCCCAAUCGUGGGGGAUAACGUAGCGAAAGUUACGCUAAUACCGCAUACGAUCUACGGAUGAAAGCGGGGGAUCGCAAGACCUCGCGCGAAUGGAGCGGCCGAUGUCAGAUUAGGUAGUUGGUGGGGUAAAGGCUCACCAAGCCGACGAUCUGUAGCUGGUCUGAGAGGACGACCAGGCACACUGGGACUGCGACACGGGCCAGACUCCUACGGGAGGCAGCAGUGGGGAAUUGUGGACAAUGGGCGCAAGCCUGAUCCAGCCAUUCCGCGUGCAGGAUGAAGGCCUUCGGGUUGUAAACUGCUUUUGUACGGAACGAAACGGUUCUCUCUAAUACAGGGGGCUAAUGACGGUACCGUAAGAAUAAGCACCGGCUAACUACGUGCCAGCAGCCGCCGUAAUAC